GAUCAUGUAGACUUUUCAAAUACGGACACACGAUGACUUUAGAGAAUUCCCAACUUCACGCGAGGGUGACAACGAAACCAACUUCGGAUCUACAACGCCGGAGGUGCCAGGGACAAACUUCAGAAGGGCCUGUCUGUCUGUAGAAACAAUACUGGAAUCAGGCAGUCAUUUGAUGCGGCUGGAGGGAAGACUUUCAGGAAGAACUCGAAAGCACCUGGUGGGAACAAGAACUUCAGUCAUCAGGAAACAGCAAACAGGAAACAGGCAAACCAUUACCUAGUGAUGUCGAAGAUUGCCUUUUAUCAAUCCACAAACGAGGAAGUGAACUCUAUUCUGCAUUCAAUAUCCGACUUGACAUGGAAAAGGAUGGUGAAAAUUUAUUUUUUUAUCCAAUAUCAAGUGCACCUUGGAGAAGCUUUCAAGAUAACAUUAAGAGGACAACACUGCAGCCUGCAAGAGGACAGGUAAAAAAACUUAGCAGUAUAAAGAGAUAUGCUUGGUAUACUGACAGCCAAGUCAUGUGAAGAAAACAAGUUUGUUAAUUUUGAUAAAUCAUUAACCUUCCCUUUAGCGCCUGUACCUCUAUCUCUAGUAACACCAGAUGGCAUUCGCUAAUCAACACCUAAAAGUCAAAUGAUGGAAAUUGUUCUCACGUUGCUGAACUCAACAAAUAUUGCCAAUGAAAUCCCAGAGAAUGCCAUAUACAUUAUUGACCUUGAGGCACAUUUAUGCUCAUUGUUAAACACACCACACACAUUCCAGUUAUUAGCCAGGAGAGUAAUGCCUGACAUGCCUAUAUAAUGCAAGGUGAUCUACUUUCCUUGUGACUCAUAGAGUGUAGAUUCCAUAAAACAAAGUGAACGAACUAGAAGAGGGCAGUCAGAUAAGUGCAUUCUACGCACACCAGAUAUUAGAAUUCCAGCUCCAUUUGGACAGUUUAUGUGCAAUGAAGAGAACACAGAUAGAAUGCUGGAGAUGAUUAAACAGAUUCUUCGAGAAGAGGGAGCUCUCCUUGCAGAGUGUGUUGUGUACUAUGCAAGGGGGAAGGUCUGUAUGAAGAUAACGUCACAGUGUUCAGAAGAGAUUCCAUCUCUGGAAAGUGACGAUUAUUGAGACAUACAAAAAUCAGUUAUCUCACUCAGCAUGCUCUAAAGGAAAACUCUGGUGGUCUCACAGUCUGUGUAGUCCAUUCAAAUUUAGGUGACACAGACAUUCCCAGAAUUUUGUUAGCCAAUGAAUGUGAAAAUCAAAAGGUUAUAAAUAAUGGAAGUGGGAAGAGUCGGCGAGUCCUUAAACUAAGUCAGUGUCAGGUCACUGAUUUAAAAGAAAAAAGAGAGAAAAAAAGGCGUUGUUUGGCAUCCAUGCCUUCUCAGGAAAUGACUAAGUAUCUUCUUUUUUCUGGAAAGGGAAGAAAACUUGGCAAGUAAUAAAAGAUGAUGAACAUUAGCUGAAGGUAUUUGCUGAAACGUAUCUCCAACAUAGUUUUAGAUGGACUCCAGAGAGCUACGUGUGCAGUCUGUAAUCAAAAGAGAUGCACACGAGUUAACGAAGCUAGAAUUUUUAUUUUCUGGUGUCGCUUUCACGACAGCAAGGUAGCUGGUCUGACUGCGUUACCACCAUGUGAAUCGGCACUGGCUUUACAUGCAGCUCGAAGUAAAUACGUGGCAAAGAUGUGGAGCCGGGCACACGGCACACAAAGCCCAGCAGUCUAUGAAUACUUCAGUAAAUCAUGCGUGGAAUGAUGAUCCACUGGGUUGCUAUGCCAUAUCCUCGUGAUAUAAAACUUAUUUGCAAUAAAUCCAGCGAAGAUAGUGAUGAAUAAUUAUCAGGUUACAAUGAAGAUAGUGAUAGUAGCUGUGAUGAACAGCAGAGUAGUUAAUGAGUGUACUGGUACCCUUGUCCCUAUAUCUAACGGAUGUAUUUACCUGUGUUCCAGACAAAAGCAUGACUAAUUUCAGAAUGAUAGCCAAAUUUGUAAGUAUGUUGUAAAUUUUGUUGGAAGGCAACCUUUUCAUAACGGCAAAUGAAAGUUUAAUUCAUUACAACUGAAAUUUUAAUAUUUCUUCAUUCUUUUAGUUUCAUUACUAACAAAUGGAAUCCCUUAGGUACCAAAAUUUAAUUAAUACAUGCAAUAGUUCAU